AAGUCUUGAGUGUUAAAUGCGUUCAUAUGCUCUGGAGUACCUGCAUGCAGUUUACAUUCAAUUUAUGGAAAAGAAGAUAAGUGUUUGAGAAGACUUGACUCUACAGCCACUGGAAAUGGGAGGGAGAGAAAUUUUUGCAGCUAGAUGUCACAGUUAAAUCUUAAUCACAAUCACACUGGUAUAAAUCCAGAGUAACUCUACAGGGAGCGUAAUAGGGUCCUGACCACAUUGCUGUUGAAUUAAACACAGCUUGUCCCUAGCAUAAUGCAAGCCACCCUUUGGUGGAAAUAUUCUUUGGUGGAUGUAUGCAGGUCCAGACAAAUUCACAGACAGGAUACCAGUUGUCUUUUAUAGUAAUAUUUUCUGGUGCCCUGCUGGAGUUCCUGGUAACUAGAAAGUCUUAUGCAAAGCCAUAGUACAGCUCUAGAAAACAUAGAUCUAAGAGAAAAAUGUCACUAAUGAAAAUAUUACAGAAAUGUGAUACUAAGAUUAACAAAUGUCAUUAGUCAGGUUGCCAGCUCUGUCUAAAUAGUGCUGUAAUAAUCCUCAGAAAAAAAUUAAUAGAGUAUUUCUGAAGACAUUGCAGGAACUAGUCAAUAUAACAUUUCAUAGGUUAUGUUUUCUCCUUUGUGUGCAUAUAGUCAGGGAAGAAUAUACCACAUAGGAAAAUUAGUGUGCCUAACACAUUUCACAUCACGGCUAUCCCUGGCAUGCUUUCCAUAGUUAGUUUAAAAUUGUGUUCCAUGGACUUACAGUACUUUCUUUGAUUUGCUGCCAAUAUUUACUUAAGCAAAUUGAAGAGCUCAUACUAUACUAGGGUAGAAAGAGUGAUAAAUUGCAAAAAUGCGGUAAAUGUUAAAUAAAGCUUCCUUUUUUUUCAGCAGAAAUCUGAAGAAAUUGCUCUCAUGGCUGAUAACUUUAACAGAUUGAAAGGAAAGCACAUGAUCACAUAACACAAUUCCAGAUUACCAUUCCUCCCUGACCCUACAUCCAAGACACUCACAGAAACUGCCUUAAUGGUUCUGAGGACCAGAAAAAUUUGGGGAGGAGACAGAUGCUGGUCCUGUAGUUUGAGGAACACUGGAGGACAUUGACAGACUGAGAAAUGCUGCUGAAAUCCAUGGAGCUCUCCUGGGGGUACAAGGAGACUACAGGAUUGGGACCUGACCUGGUAAUGUGAUCCUUAUAAGUGCCUUUGUGGCAUUCUCCAGGACUACUCUUACCUGCUUUUAUGCAUAAUAAAAAGGUGUAUGAAGAACAAUUUGGUGAAAUAGCUGAAAUGGAGUGGCUGGGAAAACAUCAGAAAUUCACAGAUAUCAAAAAAUCAAUUAUGAUAAAUUGGUAUGAAUUUCUGCAUUGUUGGAGAUAAAGAAUUUUGCCCACAUUCACCAAUAGGUAUAAUGAUAUUGAAGCCACUUUUAUACAUAAUACUAUAUAAGUGAAAACUACUUCUGACAAGCAUAGAAAGGCCCAUUUCUGUGUAGCAAAUUGUGUGCUUAAGGCCUGUAAAACCUUAAAGGUAACAUUUGUCAUCUUUGUUAAGCUUUUAACACACUUUUGAGACUAUUUAAAAAUGAAGGAGCCUUUGGAAUCCAGGCUGGAGCUUGGGUUGUGUGUGCAUACAAAUAGAAGGGCUUUGUAGAGCUCUUUGGCCAAAAUGAGCAAAUUUUUUCCUUUAGGGGGCAGAACUCAACUUAUGGCUCCCUGGCUGUAUCUUUUCCUGGUGGAUGUGAGUCAAGUGGUCUUCACCUCCACACCAUUUUGUCACCCACGCAGACUUACAAGUUAAUUUUUGAUAAGAGAAACACCAGUUCAAAACCAAGGCUUGAUGAGUCUUUGUUAGAGAAUAUUCAAAAAUGAGGUUUCAACAUUUCCCAAAACAAGUAUUGCUUUUGCUAAAUGAAAAGCUUCAACAUAAAAAAGAAUUCUUCAUUUUUUAAUCCCAGCCAAAAAAAACUUUCCCAAUUAAAACUCCAAAGUUAAUGCUCUUUCCAGAGUUCAGUUGUUCGGUACAUUUAUUGCUUGUCUAAAAAUUGUCUGAGCUGCACCAGGUUUGCUACAUGAUGCCUUCACCUCAGCAAGGCUGAGAGGCACAAGGGUGUUUUCCUGACAAAACUACUUGAAAUAUUUUAAGUAACUUAAAAAUAUUUUUCUCCUCUUGGUCCUUCCAGAAUAGACCAUGUUGAAUGUACAUUCAAAUUUUCAUAUGCUUAGAGCAUACCUACUUUUUUAUUAACACAUCCACAGAUUUGGUUGUGAUUUGUUUAAUGUGAAACUUCAUAAUUAGAAGAAAUCCCUUCCUGCCAGUCUUUUCCCAAUAUAUGCUUCAGUGUGUCCAGAAAGAGUAUGUAUCUGAGUGCACAAACACAUGGAGAAAUUUGAGAUUAAUUUGAUAUUCAUUCUGCACACACCUUAUGGGUUUUUUUUUCCCAAUAUAUGGAAGAGCAAUCAGUUCCUUGUUUGGUAUCACUGGUGCCAUCUGGGAAUGAUCAUAGCAUCUAUGAUUGGAAAUCCCAUGUUUUUACUCUUUCCUAUACAAGUGUGAAACUUCAUGUGCUGGUCCAUACAUUACCUCAACCCUUUGCAAAUAAAUUAUUUUUUAUAACAUCUCCAGAGAGCUCUGCCUCUUUGCAAAAGCCACGCACCUUGCAAACUAAUUGGAUCUGAAUGUAAUGAAUCUGAAAAGAAAUUAGCUAACUUUCAAGUACUGUUCACUAGUGUGUAUGCAAAGCACAUAAAAUUUUUCAUCUCUUUCUUUCCUCUGGUUAUUUUUUCACCACAGCUACCAUUAUGUGAUGGAUCAGUGGUGACACAUGAAGUACAUUUCUUGAUGAUUAAGAAGCUACGUAGUAGUAGGUCAUACUUAUAUAUUUAUGUGUAUGAAAAAUAUCAAUACUUUUAAUUGCUGAAUGUCUCCUUUGGAACUAAAAGAUUAAAUCUCUCUGAUUUAGUGUGAUUAAAAUAAUAAAUGUAAAAUUAAAGUAUGAUUAAAAACUUGAUGCAUAGCCCACCAGUAGAGUUAAUGCAUUACCAAGUCUCCUCCCAAACACAGUUUCAACAUUCCUGUUGACAUGUAAACUGCUAUUAGCAUCUCUGUGCAAGUUAUGCUUCCCUUGUUUUGUUCUUGUAUCUAAAUUCCUCUGUGAUUUAUGGGGGGAAUUUGGGAGUCUCCUGUGGGUAAGUGCAACAGUAAAAUGACUGGCAAGGAGGUAGAAAGGUAAAAGAAGGACAAACUAAGAGCAGGAAGGGAGGACUGGAAGGGAAAAAAAAGCAGGUAUUGAAUCCCUAUUGAGCAGGUAAGGGAAAUUACUUUCCAAGCAAUCAAGCUACCAUUCUAUGUUAUUUUCCAAAACUCUUAUUUUAACUACUGUUACCUCUAGCCUGUCGAAAUGGAUGAGAUAACUCCCAUGACUUCAGUGAGAACAUGAUGAAUUGGGCCCUAAGUACAGCUGGAAAUCCCACUUGUUGCAUGUUUUGAAGGUUACAUAUUCAGUUUACACUGGCCAUGUGUACAAAGUUGAAGUAUACUAUUUUAUGUUUAAAAAGUAGAGAAAAAUUAUCAAAAAAAAUCAAUGCAAUUAUGUGGUAGUUUAGUCCAGGCCUUCCUUGGUGACCAGUUUGUAACCAAGUGCCCAGAUUUACCCAGUAUUCCCUAUGAUUUUUAUGUAAGCCAGGGUAUAAGAAGAAAGGAGGAAAGGUCUUCGCCCUCUUUCCUUCCGGUGGCUUUGGAGGUGCAGGUUCCCUGCUGUCGAGUCUGUCGUGUUGGGGAGUGAGGCCUGGUAAGGUCUUGCCGACCUUGGGAGAUGGAGGU